rnacentral:rRNA from 1 species
CCUACGGGAGGCUGCAGUGGGGAAUAUUGCACAAUGGGCGCAAGCCUGAUGCAGCCAUGCCGCGUGUGUGAAGAAGGCCUUCGGGUUGUAAAGCACUUUCAGCGGGGAGGAAGGCGUUAAGGUUAAUAACCUUGGCGAUUGACGUUACCCGCAGAAGAAGCACCGGCUAACCCCGUGCCAGCAGCCGCGGUAAUACGGAGGGUGCAAGCGUUAAUCGGAAUUACUGGGCGUAAAGCGCACGCAGGCGGUCUGUCAAGUCGGAUGUGAAAUCCCCGGGCUCAACCUGGGAACUGCAUUCGAAACUGGCAGGCUAGAGUCUUGUAGAGGGGGGUAGAAUUCCAGGUGUAGCGGUGAAAUGCGUAAAGAUCUGGAGGAAUACCGGUGGCGAAGGCGGCCCCCUGGACAAAGACUGACGCUCAGGUGCGAAAGCGUGGGGAGCAAACAGGAUUAGAUACCCUUGUAGUC